GACGAACCGUGCGAACGUUGUUCGGAUUCACUGGGCUUAAAGGGCGCGUAGGCGGCCACCGCAAGUCGGUUGUGAAAUCUCUGGGCUUAACCCAGAAAGGUCAACCGAUACUGCGGGCUAGAGUGCAGAAGGGGCAACUGGAAUUCUCGGUGUAGCGGUGAAAUGCGUAGAUAUCGAGAGGAACACCUGCGGCGAAGGCGGGUUGCUGGGCUGACACUGACGCUGAAGCGCGAAAGCCAGGGGAGCGAACGGG
rnacentral:rRNA from 1 species